GGCGGGGUAGCUCAGAUGGUUAGAGCGUCGGAUUCAUAACCCGGAGGUCACGAGUUCGAUUCUCGUCCCCGCUACAA
rnacentral:tRNA from 4 species